rnacentral:tRNA from 1 species
GGAAGUUGAUGGGGUCUGGAGGCUCCCGCGGUCUUCAAAACCGUUGGCUGCAACUAUUGCAGUGGUAGGUUCGAUUCCUGCCUCUUCCG